rnacentral:rRNA from 1 species
GACGAACCUUGCUAACGUUAUUCGGAAUUACUGGGCUUAAAGGGUGCGCAGGCGGAUAUGUAAGUCAGUGGUGAAAUCUUUGGGCUUAACCCGAAAAUUGCCAUUGAUACUAUAUAUCUUGAAUGCUGUGGAGGUAAGCGGAAUAUGUCAUGUAGCGGUGAAAUGCUUAGAGAUGACAUAGAACACCUAUUGCGAAGGCAGCUUACUACGCAGAUAUUGACGCUCAUGCACGAAAGCGUGGGGAUCAAACAGG